AUUGAACGCUGGCGGCAGGCUUAACACAUGCAAGUCGAGCGGGGUGAUGGUGCUUGCACUAUCACUUAGCGGCGGACGGGUGAGUAAUGCUUAGGAAUCUGCCUAGUAGUGGGGGAUAACUUGCCGAAAGGUAAGCUAAUACCGCAUACGUCCUACGGGAGAAAGGAGGGGACCUUCGUGCCUUUCGCUAUUAGAUGAGCCUAGGUCGGAUUAGUUAGUUGGUGAGGUAAUGGCUCACCAAGACCGCGAUCCGUAACUGGUCUGAGAGGAUGAUCAGUCACACUGGAACUGAGACACGGUCCAGACUCCUACGGGAGGCAGCAGUGGAGAAUAUUGGACAAUGGGGGGAACCCUGAUCCAGCCAUGCCGCGUGUGUGAAGAAGGUCUUAGGAUUGUAAAGCACUUUAAGUUGGGAGGAAGAGCAGUUAACUAAUAUUUGACUGUUUUGACGUUACCGACAGAAUAAGCACCGGCUAACUUCGUGCCAGCAGCCGCCGUAACAC
rnacentral:rRNA from 1 species